UCGGACGUGGUGCGCGGUGUACGCCUGCUCUUAAUGUGAUGCUUCUUGCGGUUGAUGCAGGAAGUCUGGGUUCGACUCCCAGCGUCCGAA